UACGGAAGGGGCAAGCGUUGUUCGGAAUCAUUGGGCGUAAAGGGCGUGUAGGUGGUUCUGUAUGUCUACCGUGAAAGCGUACGGCUCAACCGUAUUUAGUCGGUAGAAACUGCAGGACUUGAGGCUGGGAGGGGCUGGUGGAAUUCCCCGUGUAGCGGUGAAAUGCGUAGAGAUGUGGAGGAACACCAGUGGCGAAGGCGACUCUUUGGCCUGUAACUGACGCUGAGGCGCGAAAGCGUGGGGAGCAAACAGG
rnacentral:rRNA from 1 species